UAAUACGUAGGUGGCAAGCGUUGUCCGGAAUUAUUGGGCGUAAAGGGCGCGCAGGCGGCAUCAUAAGUCGGUCUUAAAAGUGCGGGGCUUAACCCCGUGAGGGGAUCGAAACUGUGGAGCUGGAGUAUCGGAGAGGAAAGCGGAAUUCCUAGUGUAGCGGUGAAAUGCGUAGAUAUUAGGAGGAACACCAGUGGCGAAAGCGGCUUUCUGGACGACAACUGACGCUGAGGCGCGAAAGCCAGGGGAGCGAACGGGAUUAGAUACCCCGGUAGUCCUGGCCGUAAACGAUGGAUACUAGGUGUAGGAGGUAUCGACCCCUUCUGUGCCGGAGUUAACGCAAUAAGUAUCCCGCCUGGGGAGUACGGCCGCAAGGCUGAA
rnacentral:rRNA from 1 species